rnacentral:rRNA from 1 species
UUAGAACGUCGUGAGACAGUUCGGUCCCUAUCUGCCAUGGGUGUUGGAUACUUGAGAGGAGCUGUCCCUAGUACGAGAGGACCGGGAUGGACAUACCUCUGGUGUACCGGUUGUAACGCCAGUUGCAUAGCCGGGUAGCUAAGUAUGGACGGGAUAACCGCUGAAAGCAUCUAAGCGGGAAGCCUCCCUCAAAACUAGGUAUCCCAUGAGAGUCGUGGAAGACUACCACGUUGAUAGGCUAGGUGUAGAAGUGUGGUGACACAUGAAGCUAACUAGUACUAAUAACUCGAUUGAACUUUAUUUUACU